rnacentral:lncRNA from 1 species
UUCGGAUCAGUUGCCAGGGACAUUUGAUGUGGGCAAAGCAGAGCAUCUGUCCAUCACAUGCAGAUAUCUCCAAGAAAAAGCUCUUUUCAUGAAAUCAUGCAAAGAAAUAAUUAGCAAAGUAUCAUGGUUUGGAAUCGAGCACCUUCUUUAUGAUGCCUCUAAGGUUCUUGUAUGGCAAGACAUGAGUCAUUGUGCACCAAGUGAGGUUCUCAAGACACAUAAGAAUUCAAACCCGCAGAUUACUUUUGGGGUGACAGAGUCAGGUGUUACUCUCGUAAACAAAGUGGAACAGCCCCCUCUGUCUAUGGAUGGAGCAGAGACCCCAACAAAACAACAGAGUGAUGCUGCUCGGAAACGCAAAGGUUUGCAGUUAUGGACGUCCUCUCAACCCAGUGUUGCGCAGAGCGUAAAGGCUGGCAAGGAUGUGGCUUAUAAAAUGGCUAAAAGGAGGGCAUCUCUUUCACCCCGAACACAAUGUAAUGCUGUGAACGCCCUUUUCCAAACAACUUCUGCAACCCAUGUUGAGAACCCGACCCCUUACUACACUCUUCCUCACAGAGUGGAUCCAGAGCAUUGGGGAAUGGUUGGAAGCACUGCUGCAGACUGGAACGCCUCUGACUUAGUCCCACCUUCACCUUCGACGUCUCAUGCACACUCUGAAAGAAAUUAUCUUCAUCUGUCUAAUAUACGAGCGACUUUAUCACAUUCUGAUGAGAGGAGAUCUAUAGCAGACAUACAAAGACCUCAACAGCCUUCAGUCUCGGCUCCCCAAGCAACUUUACGAGAAGAUUCUUGUGUUACACGUCAAGCAUUUGACAGUGUUAAAUAUCAACAAACUAACACUGCGCCACAUUGUCCUGUGCUCUCACAAGAACAGUUAAACCAGUUCAGUUUAGCCAUGACACAACCUUAUAGUUUGCCAAAUUGCCAUUUGAAUGCAAAUUUGAUACCUCCUCCUCUCUCAGUUCAGGCUUUGACACAUGUCCCUAUGCCCAGCACGAUUACAGCAAUUCAUUACCCAUACUUCCUUCUGAAUGGACAAACAUACACCACAGGCUCCACUGCAGCCAUUCACCCUGAUACUAGAUAUUAUCCUAACACCAUUUAGGGCUAAUGUACUACGAGCUUCGAUUGAAUCAGAGAUAUGUAUUUUUGUAAGUCGGUUAUAUUUACAGGUAAAUUACAUCAAAUAACUUGUUCAGGGGUGGCCAGCGUCAGUUCUGGAGAGCCACAGUCCUGCAGAGUUUUGCUCCAACCUUGAUAAAACCAAACCUGUGUGUUGGUUUCUAGUAAACCUUAGAUCUUGAUUAGCUUGUCCAGGUGUGUUUGAUUAGGGUUGGAGCUGAUCGAAAGC